UACGUAGGGGGCAAGCGUUGUCCGGAAUCAUUGGGCGUAAAGCGCGCGUAGGCAGCCAGAUAAGUCCGGUGUGAAAGUCACAGGCUCAACCUGUGAAUGCCGCUGGAAACUGUCUGGCUUGAGUCCGGAAGGGGCGAGUGGAAUUCCUGGUGUAGCGGUGAAAUGCGCAGAUAUCAGGAGGAACACCAAUGCGAAGGCAGCUCGCUGGGACGUUACUGACGCUGAGACGCGAAAGCGUGGGGAGCAAACAGG
rnacentral:rRNA from 1 species